UACGUAGGGGGCUAGCGUUGUUCGGAUUUACUGGGCGUAAAGAGCGCGUAGGUGGUUAUACAAGUUAGGGGUGAAAUCCCGGAGCUUAACUUCGGAACUGCUUCUAAAACUGUAUAGCUUGAGUGUGGUAGGGGGUAAUAGAAUUCCUAGUGUAGAGGUGAAAUUCUUAGAUAUUAGGAGGAAUACCGAUGGCGAAGGCGAUUACCUGGGCCACUACUGACACUGAGGCGCGAAAGCGUGGGGAGCAAACAGGAUUAGAUACCCUGGUAGUCCACGCAGUAAAUGGUGAGUGCUAGAUGUCGGGAAUUUUUAUUUUCGGCCUCGCAGCUAACGCAUUAAGCACUCCGCCUGGGGAGUACGGUCGCAAGAUUA
rnacentral:rRNA from 1 species